UACGGGGGGAGCAAGCGUUGUUCGGAAUUACUGGGCGUAAAGCGCACGUAGGCGGCUUUGUAAGUUAGAGGUGAAAGCCCAGAGCUCAACUCUGGAACUGCCUUUAAGACUGCAUCGCUUGAAUUGUGGAGAGGUAAGUGGAAUUCCGAGUGUAGAGGUGAAAUUCGUAGAUAUUCGGAAGAACACCAGUGGCGAAGGCGACUUACUGGACACAUAUUGACGCUGAGGUGCGAAAGCGUGGGGAGCAAACAGG
rnacentral:rRNA from 1 species